rnacentral:misc_RNA from 1 species
UGAUUUAUGAAUUCCUUUCUCAUAAGCCUUCUGGAAUUCACUUUGAACCUGAAGACCCAUGACACCUGUUGCAAACUGGGUCAUCGGAUGAGAUGUAAUAGGAAGAGCAUCAAUGGCCUUGUAUACAUAAUCUGGAACAGUGGCUCGGCUUUGUAACUCCUUUGAUAAUGCAUCAACUUGCUCUUUGCUUGGCACCUUUCCUGUGAGAAGAAGCCACAGAAGACCCUCGGGUAAUGGCUCUCCACCAGGCUUGGCAGCUGGUAGUAAUUUUUGACAUUCGGGAAUUGACAAACCCCUAAAUCGAAUACCCUCGUCAGGGUCAAGUAAAGAUGUUUCCCAUAGUAGCCCUGUCAUUCCCCUCAUUCCACCAAGUACCAUAUCAACAGUGAUGUUGCCCAGUUGAACCUUUCCAUGUUCUGCUUUGAAUUUCUUCAGGCGAUCCUGCUGCUCUGGAAUCAA